AACAUACUGAGGGAAAGGGCCGCUCGGAAAGGUCUAGGAAUGAACACCCAUCCUCACACCCCAGGAGUGCCUUGGUUUCAGAAAGCAGCUGGAACAUUAAUGGCAAUUCCACUUUCCCAUUCAUCGCCCCCGCCCCCACCAUCCCACCAAGAAACUCAGUGGGAAUGAAUGGUCUACACAGAGAAACUGAAAUCUGGUUAGUCAAGAAGGAAAAAACAGCCAAGUGCCUAGAAUUAAGAGGAUUUUUUUUUUUAAGCUCAGCCUACGGACAACAAAAGCAUGGACUGUAUUUCCCAGCAUCUUUCGCAGCUUAUUGUUGAAAGUCCAGUGAGCUACCUCAGGCUUUUCUCUGUGGAAUGACUGUUGCAGAGAACUGCAACUCAGAAGAAUGGAGUUUAAAACUGUGAUGACAUUCUACCUCAUUGAAGAAAUCCUCCAAUGCCAAGGGUGGAUCUCUAAAGAAGGAUUUAAUCCAGGAUCACAUCUUAUAUUUACAAUAACAUGCCUUUUUUCUCCUUCAGUCCGGAACAGUGUCUCAGCCUAUCUUUGUUCUUUAUGACAUUGACAUAUUUUAAAGAAUAAAAGCCAAUUCUUUUGUGCACCAUC